rnacentral:rRNA from 1 species
CUAGCUGUAAACGAUGGAUACUAGGCGUUGAGAGUAUCGACCCUCUCAGUGUCGUAGCUAACGCGUUAGGUAUCCCGCCUGGGGAGUACGCGCGCAAGCGUGAAACUCAAAGGAAUUGACGGGGGCCCGCACAAGCGGUGGAGUAUGUGGUUUAAUUCGAUGCAACGCGAAGAACCUUACCAGGGCUUGACAUGUCCGGAACCCUGCCCAAAGGCGGGGGUGCCUACGGGAACCGGAACACAGGUGGUGC